AAGCAAUUUAGCCACAUCCUACUAUUACACAAAGCUCGCCCUAUGAAAGCUAUGCAGUUCAUUCAGAAAGAUUCAUCACUGCGAGUAGCAAACGUAUAGUCUUCUCACCCCCUAAAAAGCAUAUGAUGGAAACCAUACCAAUUGGACAAUUGAGGGCUAGACGGAUUUGCUCAUCGAAGACAUCUUUCCAACUUCAGACUAAUGAUUUAGAGAGGCGGUUUCGAGAUCAAGGCUAUAGCCAUCGAUGCUUGAAAAGAGCAUGUAAGAGAGUGAAAACCACCCCCAGACCACAACUUCUGCAACCGAAGGUGACCGGCUCCAUGACGCUGAUCCCGGAAGUCGUUGGGGAUGGCAUGUAUACAGUGAAUGCG